GGGUUGUGAGGUUAAGCGACUAAGCGUACACGGUGGAUGCCCUGGCAGUCAGAGGCGAUGAAGGACGUGCUAAUCUGCGAUAAGCGUCGGUAAGGUGAUAUGAACCGUUAUAACCGGCGAUUUCCGAAUGGGGAAACCCAGUGUGUUUCGACACACUAUCAUUAACUGAAUCCAUAGGUUAAUGAGGCGAACCGGGGGAACUGAAACAUCUAAGUACCCCGAGGAAAAGAAAUCAACCGAGAUUCCCCCAGUAGCGGCGAGCGAACGGGGAGGAGCCCAGAGCCUGAAUCAGUGUGUGUGUUAGUGGAAGCGUCUGGAAAGGCGCGCGAUACAGGGUGACAGCCCCGUACACAAAAAUGCACAUAUUGUGAGCUCGAUGAGUAGGGCGGGACACGUGGUAUCCUGUCUGAAUAUGGGGGGACCAUCCUCCAAGGCUAAAUACUCCUGACUGACCGAUAGUGAACCAGUACCGUGAGGGAAAGGCGAAAAGAACCCCGGCGAGGGGAGUGAAAAAGAACCUGAAACCGUGUACGUACAAGCAGUGGGAGCCUCUUUAUGGGGUGACUGCGUACCUUUUGUAUAAUGGGUCAGCGACUUAUAUUCUGUAGCAAGGUUAACCGAAUAGGGGAGCCGAAGGGAAACCGAGUCUUAACUGGGCGUUAAGUUGCAGGGUAUAGACCCGAAACCCGGUGAUCUAGCCAUGGGCAGGUUGAAGGUUGGGUAACACUAACUGGAGGACCGAACCGACUAAUGUUGAAAAAUUAGCGGAUGACUUGUGGCUGGGGGUGAAAGGCCAAUCAAACCGGGAGAUAGCUGGUUCUCCCCGAAAGCUAUUUAGGUAGCGCCUCGUGAAUUCAUCUCCGGGGGUAGAGCACUGUUUCGGCAAGGGGGUCAUCCCGACUUACCAACCCGAUGCAAACUGCGAAUACCGGAGAAUGUUAUCACGGGAGACACACGGCGGGUGCUAACGUCCGUCGUGAAGAGGGAAACAACCCAGACCGCCAGCUAAGGUCCCAAAGUCAUGGUUAAGUGGGAAACGAUGUGGGAAGGCCCAGACAGCCAGGAUGUUGGCUUAGAAGCAGCCAUCAUUUAAAGAAAGCGUAAUAGCUCACUGGUCGAGUCGGCCUGCGCGGAAGAUGUAACGGGGCUAAACCAUGCACCGAAGCUGCGGCAGCGACGCUUAUGCGUUGUUGGGUAGGGGAGCGUUCUGUAAGCCUGCGAAGGUGUGCUGUGAGGCAUGCUGGAGGUAUCAGAAGUGCGAAUGCUGACAUAAGUAACGAUAAAGCGGGUGAAAAGCCCGCUCGCCGGAAGACCAAGGGUUCCUGUCCAACGUUAAUCGGGGCAGGGUGAGUCGACCCCUAAGGCGAGGCCGAAAGGCGUAGUCGAUGGGAAACAGGUUAAUAUUCCUGUACUUGGUGUUACUGCGAAGGGGGGACGGAGAAGGCUAUGUUGGCCGGGCGACGGUUGUCCCGGUUUAAGCGUGUAGGCUGGUUUUCCAGGCAAAUCCGGAAAAUCAAGGCUGAGGCGUGAUGACGAGGCACUACGGUGCUGAAGCAACAAAUGCCCUGCUUCCAGGAAAAGCCUCUAAGCAUCAGGUAACAUCAAAUCGUACCCCAAACCGACACAGGUGGUCAGGUAGAGAAUACCAAGGCGCUUGAGAGAACUCGGGUGAAGGAACUAGGCAAAAUGGUGCCGUAACUUCGGGAGAAGGCACGCUGAUAUGUAGGUGAAGCGACUUGCUCGUGGAGCUGAAAUCAGUCGAAGAUACCAGCUGGCUGCAACUGUUUAUUAAAAACACAGCACUGUGCAAACACGAAAGUGGACGUAUACGGUGUGACGCCUGCCCGGUGCCGGAAGGUUAAUUGAUGGGGUCAGCGCAAGCGAAGCUCUUGAUCGAAGCCCCGGUAAACGGCGGCCGUAACUAUAACGGUCCUAAGGUAGCGAAAUUCCUUGUCGGGUAAGUUCCGACCUGCACGAAUGGCGUAAUGAUGGCCAGGCUGUCUCCACCCGAGACUCAGUGAAAUUGAACUCGCUGUGAAGAUGCAGUGUACCCGCGGCAAGACGGAAAGACCCCGUGAACCUUUACUAUAGCUUGACACUGAACAUUGAGCCUUGAUGUGUAGGAUAGGUGGGAGGCUUGGAAGUGUGGACGCCAGUCUGCAUGGAGCCGACCUUGAAAUACCACCCUUUAAUGUUUGAUGUUCUAACGUGGACCCGUAAUCCGGGUUGCGGACAGUGUCUGGUGGGUAGUUUGACUGGGGCGGUCUCCUCCUAAAGAGUAACGGAGGAGCACGAAGGUUGGCUAAUCCUGGUCGGACAUCAGGAGGUUAGUGCAAUGGCAUAAGCCAGCUUGACUGCGAGCGUGACGGCGCGAGCAGGUGCGAAAGCAGGUCAUAGUGAUCCGGUGGUUCUGAAUGGAAGGGCCAUCGCUCAACGGAUAAAAGGUACUCCGGGGAUAACAGGCUGAUACCGCCCAAGAGUUCAUAUCGACGGCGGUGUUUGGCACCUCGAUGUCGGCUCAUCACAUCCUGGGGCUGAAGUAGGUCCCAAGGGUAUGGCUGUUCGCCAUUUAAAGUGGUACGCGAGCUGGGUUUAGAACGUCGUGAGACAGUUCGGUCCCUAUCUGCCGUGGGCGCUGGAGAACUGAGGGGGGCUGCUCCUAGUACGAGAGGACCGGAGUGGACGCAUCACUGGUGUUCGGGUUGUCAUGCCAAUGGCACUGCCCGGUAGCUAAAUGCGGAAGAGAUAAGUGCUGAAAGCAUCUAAGCACGAAACUUGCCCCGAGAUGAGUUCUCCCUGACCCUUUAAGGGUCCUGAAGGAACGUUGAAGACGACGACGUUGAUAGGCCGGGUGUGUAAGCGCAGCGAUGCGUUGAGCUAACCGGUACUAAUGAACCGUGAGGCUUAACCUUACAACGCCGAAG
rnacentral:rRNA from 1 species